AAUAUUUCUGUCGUUGUCUGAACCUCGUCAAAUCAAGAGCCACGUCUCCAAAUUAAAAAAAAAGUUCAUUUCGUUGAAAUAAUAUUUCUUGCACAUAUUAAUUAGUGCGACAAGAUAGUAUGUAAUGGAAUAAUUGAUAAUCGUCUAGUCCUAAAUAAGCUAUGACAUCUUAUCUAAGAUCGGGACGCCAACAACUUACACCAAGUUUCACAGGAAAAAAUAAGCAUCCUGUAUGUAAAUCUUCAACUUCCGGCUCUUUAACGUCUUCAUUCAUUCAUAUGAAACGCAAUCAUCAUCUUAUUUCCAUUAGACGUUCUCUUGGGGAACAUAAAGAUGACAUCGAUCCCAGUGGAUCAGCAAUCCACUAGGAUUUUCCGUCUCAUCGCAGUAAUCGGUAACCUACCUCAAGACGAGAAGUAAGAAUGCUUAUCAGGAUGCUGCCACACUUCAAGGUCGUUAAUUUGAGUAAAGUCACGCUCUUCAGGUCGAAUAGCUAACUACUCUAUGCAGCUUUAGUUAUUUUAGUAUAUGUACAUACCUACUUGUUUAUUUUUGCUUCCUAAAUUGUACUGUCACAUUCUCCAUCUACAUUUUACAAAAUCGCAUUAAUCUGAGCUUCAGAAAUCUCACUUCACAGAUAUAUAAACAAAGAUAAGUAUUUAGGAAUACGAACUUCAUACAUAUGUAGGCUUCAUUCAUAAAAUUUAUCAGGAAUUCAGAAUUUGGUUCCAGUAUCCAACGCCCUAAGCAUUACAACUAGAUAAGUAUGUACACUAAAAAAAUCGUCAAAAAAUUACUCCAUUUUGUAGCGUAGCAAUUUGCAUAAUUUUGUCAGUUCUCUAUUGUUACGUAGCAGAUUCUUAUUAUAAGUUUACGGGCGGAUUGAAUUAAGUGCAAUAAACUUAAAAACGAACUAGAA